CCUACGGGUGGCAGCAGUGGGGAAUAUUGCACAAUGGGGGAAACCCUGAUGCAGCAACGCCGCGUGAAUGAAGAAGUAUUUCGGUAUGUAAAGCUCUAUCAUCAGGGAAGAAAAUGACGGUACCUCAUUAAGAAGCACCGGCUAACUACGUGCCAGCAGCCGCGGUAAUACGUAGGGGGCAAGCGUUAUUCGGCGUAACUGGGUGUAAAGGGAGCGUAGACGGCAGCACAAGUCAGGAGUGAAAUCCAGGGGCUUAACCCCGGGACUGCUUUUGAAACUGUGCAGCUAGAGUGCAGGAGAGGUAGGUGGAAUUCCUAGUGUAGCGGUGAAAUGCGUAGAUAUUAGGAGGAACACCAGUGGCGAAGGCGGCUUACUGGACUGUAACUGACGUUGAGGCUCGAAAGCGUGGGGAGCAAACAGGAUUAGAUACCCGAGUAGUC
rnacentral:rRNA from 1 species